rnacentral:rRNA from 1 species
AAUAUUGGACAAUGGGCGAAAGCCUGAUCCAGCGACGCCGCGUGGGUGAAGAAGGCCUGCGGGUUGUAAACCCCUUUCAUGAGGGAAGAACACUGACCUAACCUCAGGAAGAAGCACCGGCUAACUCCGUGCCAGCAGCUGCGGUACUACGGAGAGUGCAAACGUUGUUCGGAUUCACUGGGCGUAAAGGGCACGUAGGCGGCUCGGCAAAUCGGUCGUGGAAUCUCGACGCUUACCGUCGAAACGGCGGCCGAAAAUACCGGGCUCGAGGGCGUGAGGGGUCACUGGAACUCCUGGUGAAGCGGUGAAAUGCGUAGAUAUCAGGAGGAACGCCGGAGGCGAAAGCGAGUGACUGGCGCGUUCCUGACGCUGAGGUGCGAAAGCUAGGGGAGCAAAC